rnacentral:rRNA from 1 species
CGCUGGCGGCGUGCCUAACACAUGCAAGUCAACUUGACUGAAGGAGCAAUCUGACAGUAGAGUGGCGCAAGGGUGCGUAACGCGUAAGUAACUUGCCCAAGGUAAGGAAUAACGUCGAGAAAUCGGCGCUAAUACCUCAUAAUGCAGCGGAUCCGCAUGGAUAUGUUGUUAAAGGUUUACCGCCUUGGGAUAGGCUUGCGUCUGAUUAGUUAGUUGGUGUGGUAACGGCACACCAAGGCUACGAUCAGUAACUGGUCUGAGAGGAUGAUCAGUCACACUGGAACUGAGACACGGUCCAGACUCCUACGGGAGGCAGCAGUGAGGAAUAUUGGGCAAUGCUCGAAAGAGUGACCCAGCAACGCCGCGUGGAGAAUGAAGGUAUUCUAUAUCGUAAACUCCUGUGAGAGCAGACGAAAGACAGAUUAUUAAUCUGGAUGACUGUAUGCUCAGAGGAAGCCCCGGCUAACUACGUG